UGGUCUCUGCAGAAGCCAGUCCCCACCCCU
rnacentral:piRNA from 1 species